rnacentral:lncRNA from 1 species
GCUGUAUGGUUAUCGGAGUGUGAAAUUGCUGCGUUUAUAUUUUAUUAUGCUUUUUAUGCUUGGUGGAUGAGGAGAGGCAAAGGGAAGUUGGGCCAGAGCUUUCAUUCUGUGUUCCUGUAAAUCUUACGCCUCUACGUGUGAGUGAUAAAACAACCUGGUAGAAGACAGCUUUACAUAGAUAAAACUGUGCCUAUCAUACAGUUUUCAGUGCUAAAAGUAUUCCCAAGAUAUUUGCUUUAUUCUACAUCUGAUCCCAGCUGUCUGAGAGGAGCAACAACAGGAGUUUCACAGUACCCCACCCAGGCUCUCUCUUCGAGAAGAGCAGUCCUGUAAACUAUAGGGUGUGCAAGGAUUAUAUUUUACGAUCAUCCAACUACACAGAUUUAAAAAAAAAAAAAAAAAAAAAAAAAAAAAAAGCUCAGGCUAUUAAUUGACAUGCUUGCAUGAAUAAAAACCAACCACCUGGGGGAUAAGUAAGGCCUUAUCCGUCACCACCUGUUCACACGGUGGAAAGCACAGCUGGUCUCCAGCCCUGUAGCUGCCUGGCUGAACAGGGCUCAGGAGCACUGAGUAGCUACUGCUGCCUAGGAGGAAGGGAGUGCCUGGCAUUAGUCACCAAAACCUAGGUCUGAAUCAGUUCGCGGAGUCCUGAUUCAGCAAAUUAAACACUGCUGUGAAAACAGAUGGGCCCUCAGCACGCUGUACUGGAGCAGAAGGCUGCUGGGAAGCCUCAGGUGAUGGCAGAGACGUGGCUCUGGAGCCCCUGCACGAUGAUGCAGACCCAGCAGAACAUGGUCUGGGUCUCCAUGGGCUUGGAUCCAGGCGUGGGACUGUGGUGCACAGGAUGGAUCCUGUCUCCUGGGGGAGCCAUGGCCAUGAGAGGCGUAGGAGGUGUCCUGAUUUAUUUGUUUGUUUCAUUUUAAGCACGGCGUGGCUUUCUGAGUAUUUCCAGCACCAGCAGACGUUGCUUGAGGGAGAAGCUGGACUUCCCAGAUCCAUCUGUCACUGUUUGCCUGGAUGGUUCAGUUCUCUCAGGAUGUUUCUUUUACUUCUGUUCCUACGAAAGCAGGCUGACGGCCCGCUGCAUAAUUCCUGGCCAGGAAGUCCCCUCGGUGGCUUUUCAUCUUGUGCCUUUCUUCUGACACGCCCGGCCCUGGUGACCUCCUCUUGGAAGAACUAUCGAUUUCCCUUGAAACACUCACGCAGCCGCGCUGUGUCAAAGUACAAUACUGGUACAAUACAAAGCAAAGGAAUGUUGGCAAUACAACGUCCUGCGUAA